CCCAACUGAUUGAUGGUGCUUGCACCUGAUUGACGAUGGAUCACCAGUGAGUGGCGGACGGGUGAGUAACACGUAGGUAACCUGCCCCGGAGCGGGGGAUAACAUUUGGAAACAGAUGCUAAUACCGCAUAACAACGAAAGCCACAUGGCUUUUGUUUGAAAGAUGGCUUUGGCUAUCACUCUGGGAUGGACCUGCGGUGCAUUAGCUAGUUGGUAAGGUAACGGCUUACCAAGGCGAUGAUGCAUAGCCGAGUUGAGAGACUGAUCGGCCACAAUGGAACUGAGACACGGUCCAUACUCCUACGGGAGGCAGCAGUAGGGAAUCUUCCACAAUGGGCGCAAGCCUGAUGGAGCAACACCGCGUGAGUGAAGAAGGGUUUCGGCUCGUAAAGCUCUGUUGUUGGAGAAGAACGUGCGUGAGAGUAACUGUUCACGCAGUGACGGUAUCCAACCAGAAAGUCACGGCUAACUACGUGCCAGCAGCCGCGGUAAUACGUAGGUGGCAAGCGUUAUCCGGAUUUAUUGGGCGUAAAGCGAGCGCAGGCGGUUGCUUAGGUCUGAUGUGAAAGCCUUCGGCUUAACCGAAGAAGUGCAUCGGAAACCGGGCGACUUGAGUGCAGAAGAGGACAGUGGAACUCCAUGUGUAGCGGUGGAAUGCGUAGAUAUAUGGAAGAACACCAGUGGCGAAGGCGGCUGUCUGGUCUGCAACUGACGCUGAGGCUCGAAAGCAUGGGUAGCGAACAGGAUUAGAUACCCUGGUAGUCCAUGCCGUAAACGAUGAGUGCUAGGUG
rnacentral:rRNA from 1 species